GAUUUUAAUCUUCUUUUUCUUAAUUUCAAAUCAAAACACAUUUAUUAUGGUAGCAAAUAGCCACCACCACACGCCGGAGACAUCGGCGCUAAAGGAGCCCUGCCUUGGGCCUGCACGAGGGGACACUCUUCUUGGGUUUUGCUUUUCUUUCUUUCUUUUAAGUCUCUUGUCUUUAAUUUAAGGGGUCACUCUUGGCCCUUCUCCUGGGAUUUUGGGAAGUGUAAAAGACUCUUUUAAUAAAAGAGGCUUAAAGCCUCAUGAUUUGGGGCGAUAAGUUCGCGUGCCACUACCCAAACACAGAUUCCCCCACGCCUUGAACCAUUCCCACACCUUCUCUUCUCAUAUUCUUGCUUCCUCACCAGAUCCCAGGUAACACACGAAGAGGUGGAUAAUUAAAGGCUUGUUUGGUUUGGUGCCUACUGAAAACGUUCCGAAACCUGUCGGCCGGAAUCAUAACCGGACAUUGAUUUUUCAACGGUUGACGUCCAAUAGCGGUCGGUGUUUUUGGAGUGCCUUUCAAGACACUCAACAAGGACUGACUUUUUUGCAAUGGAAUAGCUCUCUUGAUGCACAAUUCGAGCAACAAAUGAGAUAAAUAGUGGAUUCCAAGGUCAAAUUGAUGGUUCUUGAAACUCUUGAUUAAAGGGAUUGGACAAAGAGACACCCAUGUUCUGUAAGUACUUGAGAUUUUUCUACAAGCUUUAAUGGGCCAUGUUGCCCUUUUUGUUAAGCAUGCUUCUUAAUUGAACUUAAUAAUCUUUAUUCUGAGAGAAUAUUUGGAGGACUUUAAUAAGCUUCCUCCUUUCUAAACUUUUCCGCUUUAUUUCAACUUUUAUAUAUAUAUAUAUAUAUAAUGAUUGAUUUUGUGCUAAUUUUUUUUUUCUAGAGUACAUGUCUUUUUCCUUUAUGGUAUAUGGCUAGAGUAUAUAUUUUGUAAGUUCCUUAACUCUUAAUUAUGAGUAUGUGUACGGAUAUACUAGUUGAACAUCAAAAGAGCUUUCUUUCAAUAGCUA